GAUGAAGAACGUAGCGAAAUGCGAUACGUAAUGUGAAUUGCAGAAUUCAGUGAAUCAUCGAAUCUUUGAACGCAUAUUGCGCUCUCUGGUAUUCCGGAGAGCAUGCUUGUUUGAGUAUCAGUAAACACCUCAACUCCCUUUUCUUUUUUGAAAUUGGAGCUGGACUUGAGUGAUCCCAACGCUUUCUUCCAAGAAAGUGGCGGGUUGCUUGAAAUGCAGGUGCAGCUGAACUUUUCUCUGAGCUAUAAGCAUAUCUAUUUAGUCUGCCUAAAAAACAGAUUAUUACCUUUGCUGCAGCUAACAUAAAGGAGACUAGUUCUUGUGCUGACUGAUGCAGGAUUCACAAAGACAGGCUUCGGCCGACUUUGUAAACUCGAUCUCAAAUCAAGUAAGACUACCCGCUGAACUUAAGCAUAUCAAUAAGCGGAGGA
rnacentral:misc_RNA from 1 species